GAUGAACGCUGGCGGCGUGCCUAAUACAUGCAAGUCGAGCGAACAGACGAGGAGCUUACUCCUCUGACGUUAGCGGCGGACGGGUGAGUAACACGUGGAUAACCUACCUAUAAGACUGGGAUAACUUCGGGAAACCGGAGCUAAUAUCGGAUAACAUGUUGAACCGCAUGGUUCAACAGUGAAAGACGGUCUUGCUGUCACUUAUAGAUGGAUCCGCGUCGCAUUAGCUAGUUGGUAAGGUAACGGCUUACCAAGGCAACGAUGCGUAGCCGACCUGAGAGGGUGAUCGGCCACACUGGAACUGAGACACGGUCCAGACUCCUACGGGAGGCAGCAGUAGGGAAUCUUCCGCAAUGGGCGAAAGCCUGACGGAGCAACGCCGCGUGAGUGAAGAAGGUCUUCGGAUCGUAAAACUCUGUUAUUAGGGAAGAACAAAUGUGUAAGUAACUAUGCACGUCUUGACGGUACCUAAUCAGAAAGCCACGGCUAACUACGUG
rnacentral:rRNA from 1 species